rnacentral:rRNA from 1 species
UACGUAGGGUCCGAGCGUUGUCCGGAAUUAUUGGGCGUAAAGGGCUCGUAGGCGGUCCGUCACGUCGGGAGUGAAAACUCGGAGCUCAACUCCGAGCCUGCUUCCGAUACGGGCAGACUAGAGGUAGGCAGGGGAGAGCGGAACUCCUGGUGUAGCGGUGGAAUGCGCAGAUAUCAGGAAGAACACCCGUGGCUAAGGCGGCUCUCUAGUACGGUACUGACGCUGAGACGCGAAAGCGUGGGGAGCGAACAGG